rnacentral:rRNA from 1 species
ACCCGCUGAACUUAAGCAUAUCAAUAAGCGGAGGAAAAGAAACCAACAGGGAUUGCCCUAGUAACGGCGAGUGAAGCGGCAAGAGCUCAAAUUUGAAAUCUGGCCCCCCCGGGGUCCGAGUUGUAAUUUGCAGAGGGUGCUUCGGCGUUGGCUGUGGUCUAAGUUCCUUGGAACAGGACGUCGCAGAGGGUGAGAAUCCCGUAUGUGGCCGCCAGCCUCCGCCGUGUGAAGCCCCUUCGACGAGUCGAGUUGUUUGGGAAUGCAGCUCCAAAUGGGAGGUAAAUUUCUUCUAAAGCUAAAUACUGGCCAGAGACCGAUAGCGCACAAGUAGAGUGAUCGAAAGAUGAAAAGCACUUUGGAAAGAGAGUCAAAAAGCACGUGAAAUUGUUGAAAGGGAAGCGCUUGCAGCCAGACUUGCCUGUAGUUGCUCAUCCGGGCCCUCGCCCGGUGCACUCUUCUAUGGGCAGGCCAGCAUCAGUCCGGGCGGUCGGAGAAAUGGCCGCUAAAUGUACCUCUCCUCGGGGAGGACUUAUAGGGCGGUCGGCAUGCGACCAGCCCGGACUGAGGUCCGCGCAUCUGCUAGGAUGCUGGCGUAAUGGCUGU